GCUUCUUCACUUUGAAUUCCUCCUUCAUCGGUUAGGUAUUUGGUAAUUUAGCUUAAUACUUUCGUGAAUUUGAAAAACAUAUAACAGUUCUCCCAGUCCAGAACCAAUCGAUCUCUUAUGAUUCUCUGCUUCAUUAACAAUAGCACAGAUUUAACAAUUCAAGCAAGCACAAUUGAGCUCUGGACCAGUUCAGAGAAGACAUGACAUUAGAACAGCUUCUUAUUCACCUCUUCAAAACCACCUGGUGAAAUCGGAGGGCAUCUACUCUACAUCCGGUACUGCAUGUUCAAGAGGUGUGAUAAGAGGAACUUGAUAAAGAAUACAGAGGGACCUUUUGUCACAGAUACCCACAUCUGUAAUGGUAAUUCUAAAACGUCAAACUGAAUUUGAUUCUGAGCAUCCCUUGGAUCCAAGAUUUUCAGAAUUGAGGAGGAAGCUCUGCUGACCACCUAGGAAAUGACACUU